GGGUUGUGAGGUUAAGCGACUAAGCGUACACGGUGGAUGCCCUGGCAGUCAGAGGCGAUGAAGGGCGUGCUAAUCUGCGAUAAGCGCCGGUAAGGUGAUAUGAACCGUUAUAACCGGCGAUACCCGAAUGGGGAAACCCAGUGUGAUUCGUCACACUAUCAUUAACUGAAUCCAUAGGUUAAUGAGGCGAACCGGGGGAACUGAAACAUCUAAGUACCCCGAGGAAAAGAAAUCAACCGAGAUUCCCCCAGUAGCGGCGAGCGAACGGGGAGGAGCCCAGAGCCUGAAUCAGCAUGUGUGUUAGUGGAAGCGUCUGGAAAGGCGCGCGAUACAGGGUGACAGCCCCGUACACAAAAGCGCAUGUGCUGUGAGCUCGAUGAGUAGGGCGGGACACGUGGUAUCCUGUCUGAAUAUGGGGGGACCAUCCUCCAAGGCUAAAUACUCCUGACUGACCGAUAGUGAACCAGUACCGUGAGGGAAAGGCGAAAAGAACCCCGGCGAGGGGAGUGAAAAAGAACCUGAAACCGUGUACGUACAAGCAGUGGGAGCACCCUUUGGGUGUGACUGCGUACCUUUUGUAUAAUGGGUCAGCGACUUAUAUUCUGUAGCAAGGUUAACCGAAUAGGGGAGCCGGAGGGAAACCGAGUCUUAACCGGGCGUUAAGUUGCAGGGUAUAGACCCGAAACCCGGUGAUCUAGCCAUGGGCAGGUUGAAGGUUGGGUAACACUAACUGGAGGACCGAACCGACUAAUGUUGAAAAAUUAGCGGAUGACCUGUGGCUGGGGGUGAAAGGCCAAUCAAACCGGGAGAUAGCUGGUUCUCCCCGAAAGCUAUUUAGGUAGCGCCUCGUGAAUUCAUCUCCGGGGGUAGAGCACUGUUUCGGCUAGGGGGCCAUCCCGGCUUACCAACCCGAUGCAAACUGCGAAUACCGGAGAAUGUUAUCACGGGAGACACACGGCGGGUGCUAACGUCCGUCGUGAAGAGGGAAACAACCCAGACCGCCAGCUAAGGUCCCAAAGUCAUGGUUAAGUGGGAAACGAUGUGGGAAGGCCCAGACAGCCAGGAUGUUGGCUUAGAAGCAGCCAUCAUUUAAAGAAAGCGUAAUAGCUCACUGGUCGAGUCGGCCUGCGCGGAAGAUGUAACGGGGCUAAACCAUGCACCGAAGCUGCGGCAGCGACACUGUGUGUUGUUGGGUAGGGGAGCGUUCUGUAAGCCUGUGAAGGUGUGUCGUGAGGCAUGCUGGAGGUAUCAGAAGUGCGAAUGCUGACAUAAGUAACGAUAAAGCGGGUGAAAAGCCCGCUCGCCGGAAGACCAAGGGUUCCUGUCCAACGUUAAUCGGGGCAGGGUGAGUCGACCCCUAAGGCGAGGCCGAAAGGCGUAGUCGAUGGGAAACGGGUUAAUAUUCCCGUACUUGGUGUUACUGCGAAGGGGGGACGGAGAAGGCUAUGUUGGCCGGGCGACGGUUGUCCCGGUUUAAGCGUGUAGGUGUGUGUUCCAGGUAAAUCCGGUUCACUUUAACACUGAGGCGUGACGACGAGGCACUACGGUGCUGAAGCAACAAAUGCCCUGCUUCCAGGAAAAGCCUCUAAGCAUCAGGUAACAUCAAAUCGUACCCCAAACCGACACAGGUGGUCAGGUAGAGAAUACCAAGGCGCUUGAGAGAACUCGGGUGAAGGAACUAGGCAAAAUGGUGCCGUAACUUCGGGAGAAGGCACGCUGACACGUAGGUGAAGUGAUUUACUCAUGGAGCUGAAGUCAGUCGAAGAUACCAGCUGGCUGCAACUGUUUAUUAAAAACACAGCACUGUGCAAACACGAAAGUGGACGUAUACGGUGUGACGCCUGCCCGGUGCCGGAAGGUUAAUUGAUGGGGUCAGCGCAAGCGAAGCUCCUGAUCGAAGCCCCGGUAAACGGCGGCCGUAACUAUAACGGUCCUAAGGUAGCGAAAUUCCUUGUCGGGUAAGUUCCGACCUGCACGAAUGGCGUAAUGAUGGCCAGGCUGUCUCCACCCGAGACUCAGUGAAAUUGAACUCGCUGUGAAGAUGCAGUGUACCCGCGGCAAGACGGAAAGACCCCGUGAACCUUUACUAUAGCUUGACACUGAACAUUGAGCCUUGAUGUGUAGGAUAGGUGGGAGGCUUUGAAGUGUGGACGCCAGUCUGCAUGGAGCCGACCUUGAAAUACCACCCUUUAAUGUUUGAUGUUCUAACGUGGACCCGUUACCCGGGUUGCGGACAGUGUCUGGUGGGUAGUUUGACUGGGGCGGUCUCCUCCUAAAGAGUAACGGAGGAGCACGAAGGUUGGCUAAUCCUGGUCGGACAUCAGGAGGUUAGUGCAAUGGCAUAAGCCAGCUUGACUGCGAGCGUGACGGCGCGAGCAGGUGCGAAAGCAGGUCAUAGUGAUCCGGUGGUUCUGAAUGGAAGGGCCAUCGCUCAACGGAUAAAAGGUACUCCGGGGAUAACAGGCUGAUACCGCCCAAGAGUUCAUAUCGACGGCGGUGUUUGGCACCUCGAUGUCGGCUCAUCACAUCCUGGGGCUGAAGUAGGUCCCAAGGGUAUGGCUGUUCGCCAUUUAAAGUGGUACGCGAGCUGGGUUUAGAACGUCGUGAGACAGUUCGGUCCCUAUCUGCCGUGGGCGCUGGAGAACUGAGGGGGGCUGCUCCUAGUACGAGAGGACCGGAGUGGACGCAUCACUGGUGUUCGGGUUGUCAUGCCAAUGGCACUGCCCGGUAGCUAAAUGCGGAAGAGAUAAGUGCUGAAAGCAUCUAAGCACGAAACUUGCCCCGA
rnacentral:rRNA from 4 species